CGUCGACCGGCGCACGGGUGAGUAACGCGUAUCCAACCUUCCCAUUACUGUGGGAUAACCUGCCGAAAGGCAGACUAAUACCGCAUAGUCUUCGAUGACGGCAUCAGAUUUGAAGUAAAGAUUUAUCGGUAAUGGAUGGGGAUGCGUCUGAUUAGCUUGUUGGCGGGGUAACGGCCCACCAAGGCGACGAUCAGUAGGGGUUCUGAGAGGAAGGUCCCCCACAUUGGAACUGAGACACGGUCCAA
rnacentral:rRNA from 1 species